CACAUAAACAUUGCGUGUCAUCAUCAUAGAUAUGAGUUGAAUAAAAAAUAGAAAAUAUAUGAAUGACAUGACAUAAAACAUUUUUCCUUUUCCUUUUCCUUUUCCUUUUUCCUCCUUCUUUUCUUUAUCUCCUC
rnacentral:ribozyme from 12 species